AGGUAGAGACAGAGAGAGAGAGAGAGAAAGAGAGAUCGUCCAUCCAUUGGUUUAAUCCCCAAAUGGCCUCAACAGCCAGAGCUGAGCCAAUCCAAAGCCAGGAGCCAGGAGCUUCUUCCUGAUUUCCCAGGAAAGAAAUACUUGGUGUGAACCAACAUAAAGGACCUUAAGUUGAACCAGCCUGCGAAUUCUAUCAAGCACUCGACACAAGUGUUCGGAAUUCUGCAUGCACCAUGAUUUUCUGUGCAUUGUCAAGAGUGGCAAACGACUUAGUGAAUAUUAAUCUUCCGCUGCCCUGCCUUGUCCCUUGGCAAGACCAGACGCCCCCUGCUGUGGGAAGUAUAAAUUCAAGGAACUGAAUUCUGCUGACAACCGCAGGAGUUUGGAAGCGGAUCCUGGAGCCACAUACUACAUCUUGAGUGCAGCAUUGCGAGACCCACACAAGAUGACCUAGUUAAGUUGUGCCUGAACUCUUGAUCACUAUGUGCUGCCAGAAGUCACCACGUUUGUGGCCCUAUCAGGAGGAGAGUAAAAAAAUGCUGAUGCAAAUAGCCGUGUUCUUCCUGGAGGAUCAGAGCUGCGUUAGGAGAGGAAAACUCCCAGCCCCACUGUGGGAGAAGAAAUGAAAGGGAACACGGGAGGUGUGGCCAAGUCCACUAGGAGGGAAGUGCAGUGCUGCCUGCAGAUGACUGUAACUUAUGCCAGGAUCACGAUUUUUAGUGGAGCGGGAAAGGAGGAAGAGAAUCUGACCUGUGUCUGCUCCGUGUCUAACUCCAGUACCCCUCCCAUGAAUCUGGAAUUUGCCUCCACUCCGGCUGUUACCGCAGGCAAACUGCCGCGUUCUCCUUGCCAGUGGGACCUACCAUAAGCUUUACUAGUGCCAUGCUAGAAGAGUGCGGUGAAAUAACGAAAUUCCUCCUAGCUAUGAUUCUCAGACUUUUCAACCACAGAUACAAGAAGACAAAAUUUGAAGCCCGCAAGAAAAGAGCUUUCCUUGCAAACUGCUGCAACCACUAGUACUCAUCCUUUUACAUAUGUAUGUUUCCAAUGCCAGUGAACCACAGGGAUUAGUGUUGCUACCAGGAGGAAGGACAUUAAAGAAAGUCAACGAGCAAAAUGCCUUAAGUAAAAUUGUCACCAUGACCUUCACUGUUGAUCAAUCUGUUUUUGCUUUGACUGGACCACUUCUGCCUCUUGGAAGCCAACACUUUGUGGCUUGCCUUCAGGAUCAUACUGGUAAGGCCAUGUUUUGUUUCUUGUUCCAACUCUUCAAAGACAUGCUCCAGAAUCUUGGUUCCACUUGAUGAAAAUUUCCAUUAAAAGCUCUGUGCUUGUCUGAAGCUCAUCUAGGUGCAAAAAUUGUGAUAGCCAUGGAGAGGAAGUUUGCAUCACUUUAAUUUUUGAAUCAUACCUGUGUAAGCUAAGCCAAUUGAGAUGCCCAUGAUGUUGGUGAUUGUUUUUGCUGUUGGCAGUCCUCUUUGACUAGCACAUAAACAAGAUUGAUUCUUUCCUGGCCAAUUGAUGGGGAUGGGCUACUGCUCCUGGCUCCAUCUCCAACAUCAUCUUGUUCCUGUUAUACAGGCUCUUUUCAAAUUAGUGUCUUAUCCUACAGCUUCAAACCAGAUUCUGCAAAGACAUCUGAUGAUAAGUUAACACAGAUUUAUUCUGGUGCAAAAAGAAAUGAAGUCUUGCAUAGUUUUUCCAUAGUUCACAUUUUCCAUGAAUGAGUUGAAGACCCUUGUGCUAUGUGAUAGAAAUUGGUUAAGUACUUUAUAUAACAUUCAUUUGUCAUUAACAAUCCUGCCUGGUAGUUACCAUUGCACUCAUUUUAUUUAUAAGAAAAGUAAAACUGUAAGAAGAGAAGUAAUUUUGUAGCAUUAUGUAGAAAAUAAAGAUCCAAAUAUGAGUUUGAAUCUAAGUUCAGAUUCUGUACUAAUUCUGAUGUAUCACAAUAUUUAUGUCACCAAAGAAUAAUUAUAUGAUUGGAUAAAUUAGCAUAAGAUUUUGAAGGAAAUACAUUUUUGUGCAACCCAUUUGUUUACAGCAUGUUCAAAUACAUUAGUGCAUUCACAUUUAUGUAAAAUCUCCACCCACAGCUCAUUUUGCAACAUUGUGCUAACUAAAACACACAGCAAUUUCUGUAUGUGUGUAUCUGUCAUUUUCCACUCUCAUCUCACAUCUUUCAGGAAUUCCAUUUACUUCUCUGUUUCAUUGAGUACACUCAGUUUUGUUUUAGAAAGGAGUUAUGUCAUGCACGCAGUGUGCAAAGCUGACAGUUCGUAACAUUAUUGUUUUAGUGAAUAGCCCAUCUUUCCUCAGUUCUCUUCAUCCUGUGUAACUCCUUUGGACCAUUGUGAAAAUGAGCCAAUUACACGUGCACCUGUGCAAGAAGGAGGGAAUAUUUGGACAUAGAAUGAAUCUGUCCUUUGUCAUGUUAUUCAAAUAAAAACCAGGGAUGGCCCCCUAAACCUCCAGUGUUUUUUCAUUGACAAGGGGAAGGAGAGUUUCUUCCUUUCCAUUAGAAACAUUUCAAUCAUUGAGUCUAAAUAUCAGGCAUAUCUGGUUUUGCCCUUUUCCCAUAUUCGUAUUGUAUUAGUAACUGAAUAACAAAAGCAGACUUUAGAAGCAUAAAGUUACAAACCCUUGGGGAGGAAAAUGACUUGUGCAAUGAAAAUGCUACUGGGCGCCUAAGUAAAGCAGCUCUGGCAGGGACAACUACAAUAUAAUUUGUCACCAGAAAGCACACUAAGAUGCAGAAUACAUAAUUAUCUUAUCAGUAAGCUGAGAAUAGUGGUGAAACUCAUUUGAAUUAAGAACCAAAAUUCUAAGUCUCAAGGAAAUACAAGGUGUCAGGCAACCAGUAAUACUGAGAUGAAUGCUGAAAUUAUUUCCAAAUGUGUAUUUCAUGGAAUUUUUUACUAAAAUUUGUAAUUGUAUAGAGGGUUAAAAUGUACUGAAAGCUUAAGAGUAACAAUGGCCUGUUAGGAAUUUAAAAAUGCCUGAAAGAGAAUAAAAUUUUUAUUUGUUUGUAGAAAACUCUGUAUCUAGAUAUCAUACUACAAAAAUAAAAAUACUUCCAUUUGCUUAGAGUGUAGUGUACAGUGUACAUUUUCCCGGUCUAUAUUGUAUUCACUGCAUAGUGUACAGGCUUUCGGUGCUAUAGUUACAAUUAUUUUUGAUUGUAAGGGAAUAUACAUUGUGUAUAUACCCUUUAUCAUGCUUUUUUUAAAGGUGCAAUCUUUCUACAGUCAUCUGUGCCAAGAAUGUAUUAUCUGUGUGACACUUAACUUUUCCUUUAUUAAGUCCAAGCAUUUUCACCUGUGCCUUUGCAAGAAUGUUGUCCCAGGUAAUAGAGGAAAGAGCGAUCUCUUUUGUCCCUGACUUUCUAUAGGGAGCAGCUCUUAAUAAACACCCUCCCCACAGGGGCCUGCACAUCUGUCUCUCUCUCUCUCUCCCUCUCCCCCCCCUUUCUUCUCUCUCUCUUCUCUCUCUCUCUCUCUCUCUCUCUCUCUCUCUCUCUUUCUCACCCUGCAGGAAGAGCAUGGGCAAGGCUGUUUCAUUUCCUCUUACUCCUCAGUACAGACAAUCAGGAUAUAAUAAACUAUUCAAAGAAAAUAAACAAAAGGAUGUACAUUACAUGCACAAGCAUAAACAUCACCCACAUUACAAAGUCGAAGUGUCCAGUUCUGGAUAAAUGAAGUCCACAAAGAAACAGGGAUGGCAAAGAAGCACAUGAGACUUAGCUAACACGUUUGGAUUUAAAAUCUCUGCUUUCCCCUACACUGGCUAUGUGUGCUUUGAAAGAGCAUGCAACCUAGUGACUCUCAUUUUUUGCCUCAUUUGUUUGUUUUAGCUUGGAAAGCAAAAUGAGAAACUCCUGCUUUGCAGCGCUGUUAUAAGGAUUAGAGCUAUGAAUAUCAACCUUUAUGUAUGUUCCUGUCAUGAGCCACGUGAGACAUUCUGUAACCUACAGAGGCAGUGUUAAUCAGGAGCAGCAUGUUCUACACUAUUCCGUUGGUCCCACCUUUCAGAGAGGUAGAACUGCCUUGUCAUUGCCUCAGAGCUCAUAAAGUAGAGUUAAGCACAAAAUCAUCUGUGACCUCUCCAGUGUGUGCUGCGCUGUGUCUGAGAACCUGGCCACGACCCACAUGUGAUAAAAAUAGCAGUUUUUGCCUGGUCCAAAAACUCUGUGCCUUUAAAAAAGAAAACUCUCUCCAAAGAUCUUGCCCUUCCUCCUCUCCAUGCAACUGUCCAGUUCUUUCCAAGGUGGCACUCUACUGUUUAUUUGGAUAGCACAGAGGUCAGGCUCAAAUAGAACUUUGAAGCCAGUCCUUCCUUUGUUUGUUUUUCUCAUUCUUACACACAAUUGGAAAAUUCUUGCUUUCCUCUUAUAUUCUUCCUGUCAGGUGAAUGGUCCUGUUAAAUGAGUAUAUAUGUAACACAUUGAGCACUAAAAAUAACCCCAUGCUUUCAUUUUCACAAAUGAAUUCAUGUAUUCAUAUUGUCUUCGGCCCUUCUUAUGAACGAAGCACACUGAUCUGUACACAAAUCACCACCAUGGCCAAUGUCAGAUCUCAAUGAGGGUGGAGUGCAGGGCUGUGGGGAGAGAAGAUGCCCAUCUCCACCACUGGGGUGCAGGCGGAUUUGCCUAAGGCUGAGAGAAGAGCAGAACAGCGGGGAAGCUUCUUAAAGCCAGGCUUGUACCAUGAACAAGACAGUGAUCAUCCACCCCAGAGGGAGGGCCAGGAAGGCCCAGAGGAACCCACGAUGACAUGCAGAAAACAGCCAGCCGAAGUCUGAGAGUGGAGAAAGAGAACUGGCGAAAAUUCUCCAGCACUCUGGACUUUGGCACUGUGUGUGUCAUUUACACACGAUGACCAGCAUCCAAUAAGAAACUGCAAUGUAUGUAAGGAGAAAAUGUAUCAAGAAAAAGCAGUCCAUGGAAGAAAAGCAGGCCUGAAAGAUAUGUUCAAAUCACCAGCCUGGGAAUUUUAAGUAACUUUACUGCUACAGACCGAAACAGUCACACCAAUAGCCCUCCGCCUAUUCAAGCAGAGAUUCUCCGAGUGUGGUUGGAAGACCAACCGCAGUGGAACUUCUUGGGAACUUAUUGAAAAUGAAACCUUUGGGGACUUACAGAAUCCUGGAAAGUGAUCCAAUAAUCUGUGUCUUAAUAAGCCUACCAGGUUGUUGUAAUGCAUAAUGAAACUUAGGAACCACUGUAUUUAAAAAAUUGAAUUCAUCAUCAGAAGCAAAAAUAAUAAUAGGCAUAGAUAUAUCCACUCAUUAAUUUAAUAAACCCUCAGGAUGGAAUAACAGAAUUGCUACCCAAACAUUUUCAUAAAAUAAAGGACACUGGAAUAGUUUUUAGCUCACUUCAAGAGGCCCAUAUAACCCUAAAGCCAACUGACAAAAACACUACAAGAAAAGAAAACCAUAGAUCAACAUCCCUCAUGAACAUACAUAUAAAAAUAAUUAAUAAUGUAUUAAGCUGUCGAAUCUAACUGUAUAGAAAAGAUGAUAUAUCAUGAUCUACUGUGGUCUAUCUCAGAAAUGCCAAGUUAGAUUAGCAAUCAAUCAAAUGUGCAAUUCACAAUAUUAAUAAAGUCAGUGAGAAAUACAGCACAAUCCAUUCAACAGAUGCAGAUACAGCAUUUGAUAAAAUGCAGAAAGCCAUUAAUGUCAGAAUUUUCCCAUCAAAGAAGAAGUAGAAGAGGAAAUCUUAAAUCUGAUAGAAGUUAACAAAUGUUGUUAACUUACUACUCAACUGUAGAACCUUAUACAUAGGAUGGUACAAUAAUGCCUGGUAUGAAAUAAUGCUACAGAAAGGUUUAC